CCUACGGGAGGCAGCAGUGGGGAAUAUUGCACAAUGGGCGAAAGCCUGAUGCAGCGACGCCGCGUGAGCGAAGAAGUAUUUCGGUAUGUAAAGCUCUAUCAGCAGGGAAGAUAAUGACGGUACCUGACUAAGAAGCACCGGCUAAAUACGUGCCAGCAGCCGCGGUAAUACGUAUGGUGCAAGCGUUAUCCGGAUUUACUGGGUGUAAAGGGAGCGCAGGCGGUGCGGCAAGUCUGAUGUGAAAGCCCGGGGCUCAACCCCGGUACUGCAUUGGAAACUGUCGUACUAGAGUGUCGGAGGGGUAAGCGGAAUUCCUAGUGUAGCGGUGAAAUGCGUAGAUAUUAGGAGGAACACCAGUGGCGAAGGCGGCUUACUGGACGAUAACUGACGCUGAGGCUCGAAAGCGUGGGGAGCAAACAGGAUUAGAUACCCCGGUAGUC
rnacentral:rRNA from 1 species